ensembl:lncRNA
ACACCCUCUCUGGGCAGCCUGGUCCAGUGUCCGGUCAUCCUCACUGUAAAGAAGUUUUCUUACAUAUUUAUGUGGAACCUCCAGCAUUCCAGCUUGAACCCCUUCUCCUAUCAUUAGAUGUCACUGAGAAGAGCCUGGCUCCAUCCUCCUGACACUCACCUUUUACAUAUUUAUUAACAUUAAUGAGGUCAUCCCUCAGUCUCCUCCAAACUAAAGAGACGCAGCUCCCUCAGCCUCUCAUCGUAAGGGACGUGCUCCACUCUCUUAAUCAUCUUUGUGGCUCUGCACUGGACUCUCUCAAGCAGUUCCCUGUUCUUGAACUGAGAGGCCCGGAACUGAACACAAUACUCCAGGUGUGGUCUCACCAGCAGAGUAGAGGGAGAGGAGAACCUCUCUGGACCUACUAACCACAUCCCUUCUAAUACACCCCAGAAUGCCAUCGGCCUUCUUGGCCACAGGGCACAGUGCUGGCUCAUGGUCCCUUUCCCCUACGCUGCUCUCCAACAAGUCAGUCCUUAACCUGUACUGGUACCUGGGGUUGUUCUUGCCCAGAUGCAAGACUCUACACUUGCCCUUGUUUUAUUUCAUUAAAUUUCUCCCUGCCUCUUGUGAUUUUGUGAUUUUUGUUGUCGGUAUUCCACAUCAGAACAUCAUGUAAAACAGUGGGAGUUAAAGAGUUAAUGUUCUGGUUCCGUGGACUGCCUUUUUUGGCCAUUUUGGGUUCUUGGGGGGGAGGGGAAGAGCAGCAUUCCCGGAGGACCUGGUGCACAGAGGAAGAAAUGUGGAGCUCCUGGCAGGACCCCAGGUGCUCUCCCUCUCACUGCCUUGCAUUCUCUUGGUUUGCUGUGGAGAAAAGCACGUGCUUUCCCUGCAGUCUACUAGAGUAAGACCUUGUAUUUUGGACACUCUUUUCUCUCUCAUUUUGUUUGCUUUUGUUGGAUUUAGUAAAUUACCACUCCUCCUCAGAUUGUUACCAUUGUGUUUUUUUUUUUUUUUUCGUUAGACCCAUCUGCUAUCUCUCUAUCCUUCUCCCUCCCCCCCUCUCCUGGAGCGCAUGGCCCGCAACGUGUCCUACCUCAUUAGCCACGGGCCAGGGCUGGCCACGCCGUGCUGUUAAAAGGUAGAGUACAUUUUUUUGCUCUCUCUUUUAUCUUCUCCUGGGCUUGUGCCCCUGUCAGACUCAGAUCUAGAGAUAACUCCGUGAUACUGCCCAAC